GACGAACGCUGGCGGCGUGCCUAAUACAUGCAAGUUGAGCGCUGAAGGUUGGUACUUGUACCAACUGGAUGAGCAGCGAACGGGUGAGUAACGCGUGGGGAAUCUGCCUUUGAGCGGGGGACAACAUUUGGAAACGAAUGCUAAUACCGCAUAAAAACUUUAAACACAAGUUUUAAGUUUGAAAGAUGCAAUUGCAUCACUCAAAGAUGAUCCCGCGUUGUAUUAGCUAGUCGGUGAGGUAAAGGCUCACCAAGGCGAUGAUACAUAGCCGACCUUAGAGGGUGAUCGGCCACAUUGGGACUGAGACACGGCCCAAACUCCUACGGGAGGCAGCAGUAGGGAAUCUUCGGCAAUGGACGAAAGUCUGACCGAGCAACGCAGCGUGAGUGAAGAAGGAUAUCGGAUCGUAAAACUCUGUUGGUAGAGAAGAACGUUGGUGAGAGUGGAAAGCUCAUCAAGUGACGGUAACUACACAGAAAGGGACGGCUAACUACGUG
rnacentral:rRNA from 1 species